rnacentral:rRNA from 1 species
GACGAACGCUGGCGGCGUGCUUAACACAUGCAAGCCGAACGGAAAGGCCUGCUUUCUCUUGUGGCGUGCGGGUACUCGAGUGGCGAACGGGUGAGUAACACGUGAGUCAUCUGCCCCCAACUUGGGUAUAAGCCAGGGAAACUGGGACUAAUUCCCGAUACGACUGCAGGGUGGUGCCUGUUGUGGAAACCGGUUUUCUAGUGGUUGGGGAUGAGCUCGCGGCCUAUCAGGUUGUUGGUGGGGCAAUGGCCUACCAAGGCGGCGAGCGGUAGCCGGCCUGGGAGCGGGCACAGCCGAACUGGGACUGGGACCAGGCCCCGACUGGUGGCAGAGGCAGGGAUUGGGGAUAUAGGAGCAUGAGCGGGAGCCUGAUGCAGCGACGGUGCGUAGAAGAUGACCGCGUUCGAGUUGUAAUCUCCUUACGACCAAGGGGAAGCGACCUGGUUGGUAGGGUGGUGACGGUAGUGGUAGAAGAAGCACCGGCUAACUACGUG